rnacentral:rRNA from 1 species
CCUACGGGGUGCAGCAGUGGGGAAUAUUGGACAAUGGGCGAAAGCCUGAUCCAGCCAUGCCGCGUGUGUGAAGAAGGCCUUCGGGUUGUAAAGCACUUUCAGUGGGGAAGAAAGCCUUGGGGCUAAUACCCUCGAGGAAGGACAUCACCCACAGAAGAAGCACCGGCUAACUCCGUGCCAGCAGCCGCGGUAAUACGGAGGGUGCGAGCGUUAAUCGGAAUUACUGGGCGUAAAGCGCGCAUAGGCGGUCUGAUAAGCCGGUUGUGAAAGCCCCGGGCUCAACCUGGGAACGGCAUCCGGAACUGUCAGGCUAGAGUGCAGGAGAGGAAGGUAGAAUUCCCGGUGUAGCGGUGAAAUGCGUAGAGAUCGGGAGGAAUACCAGUGGCGAAGGCGGCCUUCUGGACUGACACUGACGCUGAGGUGCGAAAGCGUGGGUAGCAAACAGGAUUAGAUACCCUGGUAGUC